AUGGUGUUGUGUCCUGUCCUGUACUAAAACUGUGUAGUAUCUGUUCUUAUCAGUUUAAUAUCUGAUACGUCCUCUAUAUGAAGACUCCGUAUUAGUCAGAUUUUUAGGAGGCUUUCUCCGUCCACUCCGCGCAUCAACCUGGUAUUGCAGUACUUCCAGGCUUGUACGGGUGGUGUUAGCUCA